rnacentral:rRNA from 1 species
CCUACGGGAGGCUGCAGUAGGGAAUCUUCCACAAUGGGCGAAAGCCUGAUGGAGCAACGCCGCGUGGGUGAAGAAGGUCUUCGGAGCGUAAAACCCUGUUGUUAGAGAAGAAAGUGCGUGAGAGUAACUGUUCACGUAUCGACGGUAUCUAACCAGAAAGCCACGGCUAACUACGUCCCAGCAGCCGCGGUAAUACGUAGGUGGCAAGCGUUAUCCGGAUUUAUUGGGCGUAAAGGGAACGGAGGCGGUAUUUUAAGUCUGAUGUGAAAGCCUUCGGCUUAACCGGAGUAGUGCAUUGGAAACUGGGAGACUUGAGUGCAGAAGAGGUGAGUGGAACUCGAUGUGUAGCGGUGAAAUGCGUAGAUAUAUGGAAGAACACCAGUGGCGAAAGCAGCUCUCUGGUCUGUAACUGACGCUGAGGUUCGAAAGCGUGGGUAGCAAACAGGAUUAGAUACCCUAGUAGUC